GACAGAGGCCUCAAGCGUUAGGCGGAAUCACUGGGCUUAAAGCGUGUGUAGGCGGACUUCUAAGUGCCUUGUGAAAUCCCACGGCUCAACCGUGGAACUGCUGGGCAUACUGGGAGUCUUGGGCCAUUCAGGGGCAACUGGAACAAGCGGUGGAGCGGUGAAAUGCGUAGAUAAUCGGAGAGGAACACCUGCGGCGAAGGCGGGUUGCUGGGCUGACACGUGACGCUGGACAGCGCGAAAGCCUAGGGGAGCGAACGGG
rnacentral:rRNA from 1 species